rnacentral:lncRNA from 1 species
UUGCUGUGAUUGACUGGUGAUGCCUGCCACAGACAUAGGCAUGGAGACUAAUGAUAAGUAUGCCUGUCAAUUCUGUUAUUUACUCCGCUUCCAGCUUCUGCUAGCUCCCAGAGACUAAUAAAAAGUCUGUUUUAGAAUUAACUCCAUGCUGCCCUAGGCCUGUGGAUUGCAACAGAAAAACUUAGCCUUAUAGAAUUAACAGUCUUUGGGCAUAGCAUUACAUUUCCCAUAAACAGUCUUCAUGUACUAAGCACUAGCUAUCAUCAGACAUUGUGCUAAGGGCUUGAAUGCCUUAUCUCAUUGAAUUUUCCCACUAAUCUGAAAGGUGGUACUGUCAUUAUCCCCAUUUUAUAGCUGAGAAAACUGAGGGGCAGGGAGUCUAAGUAACUUGCCCAAAAUCAGAUUCUGCUAGGGAGUGGAGAAGCUUCCAACCAUGCAGGCUGCGCAGUUACACAUCAUAUGUUAGUCAAUACCAUGCCUGGCUCCUUGUGUAGGGGUCAUGAUGUCCCACCUACCCAACAAGGAACUUAGAAAUAAUGGAGAUAGAGUUGCCAUCUGG